UACAGGGGGGUGCAAACGUUGCUCGGAAUCAUUGGGCGUAAAGCGCACGUAGGCGGUUCGUUAUGUCGGAUGUGAAAGCCCUUGGCUUAACCGAGGAAGUGCAUCCGAAACUGGCGAGCUAGAGUACUAAAGAGGAUCGCGGAAUUCCCGGUGUAGAGGUGAAAUUCGUAGAUAUCGGGAGGAACACCGAUGGCGAAGGCGGAUCUCUGGGCCAUAACUGACGCUGAGGAGCGAAAGCAUGGGGAGCGAACAGG
rnacentral:rRNA from 1 species